GCAUGUCGAGGGGUAUUUCGAUCUUCGGAUCGGAAACGACCGGCAAAUGGGUGAGUAAUACAUAUGCAACCUGCCCGUAGCUGGAGAAUAGCUUCCGGAAACGGAAAUUAAUACUCCAUAAUAUUCUAGUAUCGCAUGUUAUUAGAAUUAAAGCUUCGGUGGCUACGGAUGGGCAUAUGUCCCGUUAGCUUGUUGGUGAGGUAACUGCUCACCAAGGCUACGAUGGGUAGGGGGUCUGAGAGGAUGAUCCCCCACACUGGUACUGAGACACGGACCAGACUCCUACGGGAGACAGCAGUGAGGAAUAUUGGUCAAUGGGCGAAAGCCUGAACCAGCCAUGCCGCGUGCAGGAUGACAGUCCUACGGAUUGUAAACUGCUUUUCUGCAAGAAGAAAUGUUCCGACGUGUCGGGAUUUGACGGUAUUGCAGGAAUAAGCAUCGGCUAACUCCGUGCCAGCAGCCGCGGUAAUACGGAGGAUGCAAGCGUUAUCCGGAUUCAUUGGGUUUAAAGGGUGCGUAGGCGGAUUAGAUAGUCAAAGGUGAAAGCCUGCAGCUUAACUGUAGAAGUGCCUUUGAUACUGCUAAUCUUGAGUACAGUUGAGGCGAGUGGAAUGUGUAGUGUAGCGGUGAAAUGCAUAGAUACUACUCAGAACACCAAUUGCGAAGGCAGCUCGCUAAGCUGUUACUGACGCCCAGGCACGAAAGCGUGGGGAGCGAACCAGGAUUAGAUACCCUGGUAGUCCACGCUGUUAACUAUGAUCACUAAGCUGUUGGCGAUAAAUUGUCAGUGG
rnacentral:rRNA from 1 species